rnacentral:lncRNA from 1 species
GCCAACUGGGAGUGGCAGUUGGGUCUUGUGACUAGCACUUCCUGCCUGCCGGGGGCGGGGGGGGGGGAAGACUGGAGAGGACUGGCUUCCGGGUGUCAGAGGAGAGUGGAGCUUGUUCAGCCCAGUCUGGAGUGGCAUGCUCUUCUUGGUUCAGCCCAAAGACACAGGCUUCUAAAGGUCCCUUGCCAUGUACCUUGUUAACUGACCAAUGCGGGGAACUCUGAGAACUUUUCAAGUUCUACCUUACCCCAGCUUCUAUUGAUGCCAAAAUGUAAAGGAAUCACACCACAGUUUCAAAUGGAAACAAGGUAAUUGUUCAAAAAUGCACUUUUAAAAAAUUGUCGAAGAGAUAAAGGAUGCGUAACAAAUAAUUCUGAACUUAUAAUCUUCAAUUAUUGAAAUUAGGAAUGAAGAAAUGUGUAUACACUUAAUAAAAUAAAUGUGAUUGAAUGGGAAACUCUGAUC